AUACGGAGGAUGCGAGCGUUAUCCGGAUUUAUUGGGUUUAAAGGGUGCGUAGGCGGUUUGCUAAGCGGGAGGUGAAAUGCCGGCGCUCAACGUCGGAAGUGCCUCCCGAACUGGUGGACUUGAAUGACUCUGCCGUGGGAGGAAUGUGUAGUGUAGCGGUGAAAUGCUUAGAGAUUACACAGAACACCGAUUGCGAAGGCAUCUCACGAAGGGUUGAUUGACGCUGAGGCACGAAAGCGUGGGGAUCAAACAGGAUUAGAUACCCUGGUAGUCCACGCAGUAAACGAUGAUGGCUAACCGCUGGGCUUAUCAGUUCAGUGGCCAAGCGAAAGCGAUAAGCCAUCCACCUGGGGAGUACGACCGCAAGGUUGAAACUCAAAUGAAUUGGCGGGG
rnacentral:rRNA from 1 species